AGGAUGUUGAGCUAUGCUUCUCUGAAGGACCGUGUUCAACCCAUCUGUUGGUUGUUGGAUUUCUCACCUUUUAGGGUUUAAUGCUUUUAGCUCUUCAUACAUUUUAGGUAUUAAUCUGCUGAUGCAUGAGUAGCUGCUAUAUAUUUUCUAUUUUCUUCCUUUUUAUUUUUGGUUUUUUCGAGACAGGGUUUCUCUGUAUAGCCCUGGCUGUCCUGGAACUCACUCUGUAGACCAGGCUGGCCUCGAACUCAGAAAUCUGCCUGCCUCUGCCUCCCGAGUGCUGGGAUUAAAGGCGUGUACUACCACUGCCCGGCCUUUUUUUUUUUCUUUUUUUUACUUUCCUUCUUUCUUUGCUUCUUUCUAUUUUUCUGACUCUGACCCCUUCACGAUGACACGUGUGUCUAAAGGUAUGUAUCAUCAUCAUGACCACUUUUUCUUCCAUUCUUUGGGCUAUGCCCUCAGGUAAUGUUAAUUUUCACUGUGCCCAUGGUUUCUAAUCAGUGCAGUCUCACUUGCCAGUACUUACAUAUUUCCUGAACCAUUGAAGCCCUGUUCAGAAAAUUGCCUAUGCUUCAUACAUUGAAAUGUUAGCCAAAGUAAUUGGGCAAAACAGAAAAAAAAAUAAAAGCCACAAAUUUAAAAAAAAAAAAAAGAUGUAAAAUUGAGACAUUUGGUUGUGGCAGUUUCAGGUCUCAUAUUUAGGUUUGUAACACACUCUGAUUUGUUUCUUCUACACUGUAUGAACCUGGUUUUGUGCUUCUUUGUGCAUACAUAUUCAGUUUCUCCAGCACCACUGGUCUAGUAUCCUCUUGCAUUAUCUCCUUGUCUGUUUCGAUGCCAAUACGUUUCUGUCGCUUUUGACCAGCCCUCUGGUUUUGAAGUCCAGAUUGAUAAUUCCUUUAGCACUCCAAUAUCUGACCAGAAGUCCUUUCAGAUUUUUUUUUCUAGCUUUAAGAAGAAAGCUUUACAAGCAGAGUGAGGUCUGUAAGCAUCUUUCAGUGGUCCUCGCAUUUGAAAAUGCCUCCCCAAAGCCAUGAGCAUGAACAGCCUUCCCAGCAGCCUUUACAGCAGUGGUUCUCAACCCAGUGCUGUGACCCUUGAACACAGCUCGUCCUGUUGCAUGACCCUUAACCAGAAAGCAUUUUUGUUGCUACUUCCUAACUGUAAUGUUGCUACUGCUGAGUUGUAAUGUAAGGAUGUUUUUAAAGAGAGGAGUUGCAACCCACGGGUCGAGAGCCGCUGAUCUAGCGUUAUCUCCAGCAUGACUUCGGUGUUUCCUCGUUUUCAGUGUAGAGGUCUUUUAUCCCCUUAGUAAGAUGGUUUCCUACAUAUUUUACUGUUGGAGAACUGUCAGAAUGGAAUCAUUCUGGAGAUUUCUCUUUUGGACAGUUCACUGUUCCUUCAUACAAAAGCUACCGUGUAUCACGUGCUGAUUUUCAUUGUCCCUGCUACAUCAUGGAACUUGUUUAUCUCUUAGAGCUUCUGGUUAUUCAGACAGUAGCACUCGAAGACAUGGAUGUUUCUGCUUCUCUCCUAUUCUUAUUCUUUGACCUCAUCACUUCUCCUUUGUACUGGCUGCUUUUGUGUUAACUUGACAUAAGAUAUACGAGUCAUCAGGGAAGGGGCCUCAGUUGCAAAAAUGCUUCCAUGGAAUCCAGCUGUAAGGCAGUUGUUCUCUAUUAGUGAUCGAUUGGGUUGGGGGGGCACCUAUUUACCAUCCCUGGGCUGGUGGUCCUGGUUUCUAUGAGAAAGCAGGCUUGUGCCUUGAGCAAGCCAUGGGAGGCAAGCUAGUAAAAAGCAUCUCUCCGUGGCAUCUGCAUCAGCUCCCAUCUCCAGGAUUCUGCCCAGUUUGAAUUCCUGUCCUGACUUCUUUGAACAGAGAUGUGGAAGUGAGAGCUGAAUAAACUUGCAUUUUAAACUUCCUGUCCAACUUGCAUUUUCCUCAUGAUGUGUCUUUGGAGCAAUAGAAACGUAUGAUAGUAUUCUAGUUAGCAGGUAGAGACUUGGAAGCACUAUGCUGCUUCUGGAGUCUACCUCAUUUGUCACUUUGACUCUUCCUCUCUAAGGAAUUGGAACCUGGCCUUUAAGUAGUAAGCCAGCGGGGUUCCCAGAUCUGAGUUGAGUAGGCAAACAGCCUUGUGUUUGUUAAUAAUAGUCUUAAGUUUUUGAAUAAGAUAUUUCUUUCUUGACUUCUAUAUUGUUUAAUUGCAAAAGCAUGGACAAAAUCUUGUGAAUUUAAACACAACCCACAGCUGCAUUCACGGAUACACCCAAAUUUCACCGCCCUGGGAGAGAAUAUCUGGCUUGGCUCUCUAUCCAUCUUUUCAGUAUCCUCAGCCAUCUCUGCCUGGUAUGAAGAAAUUAAGCACUAUGACUUCAGCACUAGGAAAUGUAGACAUGUCUGUGGCCAUUAUACUCAGGUAAGUACUUCCCUAUAGCUUCUUGGAACCACCUGUUUAAAGAUGGAACGAACUGGACUUGGUGUUGAACAAAUAUAUAAUGAGCUAGUAGGAUUAUAAGAGGAAAAUAUACGUGGAAACACUAGUUACAUGGAUAAAAUUAUAUGCAAUGGCCAUCCAUCUAGACAGUACAAGACACUGGCAUGAGAUAACAUUGUGUUCCUUAAAGCUUUGGAAUAUGGCUGAUGAAUGAACUUGAAGCGUCUUCUCCCUAGCUAUGUGGCUUUAGAGAAACAUCAUAGUCUCUCUGAGUUUGUUGAUGUAUGGAUGUUAGACCCUCCCUUACAUGUUUGUGGUUAAGAAGUGAAUGGGGCUUUCAGCUUAGGAAGGUAAAUGCCGUAUUCACUGACUAAAUGGUUGUCAUGGUUACAUCUUCCAGGACUUGGGAAUUCAUAGCCAAUCUUCCAUGAUGAUCUCUCCCUUCUGCAGGGAAGACAGAACAUGGUCGCCUACUGAAGACGUUAGGACCACUAAUUUGGUCUCAUAUCUAUGGGAGAGAUAGGAUUUUGAAAAUUAGUUUUCCCAUGUCCCAAGUAUUAGCCUUCCCUUUUUUCCCUCUAGAUGAAAAGGAGGAACUUACAAAUUGAGGGAAGUUUCUGCUGUCUCAAGUCUGUCUGAUGUGAACUUGAGUUUACUCUUCCUGUUCUGACUCUCUGGGAUGAGGGAUAUUCAUAUGGGUAGCAAGUCUGUUAAAAAGCAAAUUGUCUUCUGACUGCUGCAUAUUUUGCAUGCUCAGCUACUUGAAUUGCAAUUAACAGGCUCCUUCAUAGACCUUGCACACCUUCUUUACCUGGUUAAUUUAUCCUGAAGUUUCUUUACAUUUGACAAACUCUACUUUCAAGAACCAACUCCCAUGUCUGUUACUCCAUGGACUAGGGUGUGAGCUCUUGGCUGGAUAGUUUCUGUGUCAUCUUUGCUCAUAUGGCCUCUGUCAGUUUCUCUUAAUUGGCCUAGUCGUGCACACGCAUGUCUCCCCAAAUCAGGGAGAACUCUCCUGAGAGCCAGAAGCCAUCCGCAGCUGUACUCUGCUCUCCCAGUCUUGCUCCUAUUUCUCCUUUCCCACACUUCUGAGACUGUAAAGUGUUGUCAUGUAAGCUAAUAUCGCAGAGAGAGCUGUACAGCAAUCUGGACCAACACUUUGUCAGGAGCCAUUUAACAAAGAGUACAGCCCCGGAAUCUAGUUUUGUAAUAAUUCAUGUUAGAAAAGGAUUUCUGAUAAAUCCUUGUCUAAAAUUCCUGUUUCAGCCUUCUAAGAGACCUUAGUGGUGGUGGUGGUAGGGUUCAAACUACUCAAGUCAUUUUACAUUCCUACUGGAAAGUUACCUAAAGUAAGAUCUAAACUCUACUUACCCUCUUUUGAAAAUCAGGUUGUUUACAUAUGUUGCCCAACGAUAAACAGUUAGAGCAUACAUUUAGUUUGAUCAUCUCUAUGAGAAUAGUAUUGACAUACUGAUUCAACAUUUUAGCUUCAUGUUCACUGAAGACGGACUAGCAAGUUUUUCAUUUUUGUUUAAUAAAAGAUUUUCUGGUAGGCAAGUUCCAGAUAGGACUGGAUGCUGGAAAUUUAUCCCUUUUCUCUGUCUUUGGUUUCCUGGCCACCACAAGGUGUGACUAGUUUCCAAAACCCUCAUCACAGACCCAAAGGCAAUGACAACUGUGACCAUCCAGGACCUUCCCAC
rnacentral:lncRNA from 1 species